GUGCCAGCAGCCGCGGUAAUACGUAGGUGGCAAGCGUUGUCCGGAAUUACUGGGCGUAAAGAAUGCGUAGGCGGCUUUUUAAGUGGGAUGUGAAAUCCCUGGGCUCAACCCAGGAACUGCAUUCCAAACUGGAAGGCUAGAGUGUGGGAGAGGAAAAUGGUAUUCCCAGUGUAGCGGUGAAAUGCGUAGAGAUUGGGAGGAACACCAGUAGCGAAGGCGAUUUUCUGGAACAUAACUGACGCUGAGGCAUGAAAGCGUGGGGAGCAAACAGGAUUAGAAACCCCUGUAGUCC
rnacentral:rRNA from 1 species